rnacentral:rRNA from 1 species
GACGAACGCUGGCGGUGUGCUUAACACAUGCAAGUCAACGAGAAUUUAUCUUCGGAUAAUAGUAAAGUGGCGAACGGGUGAGUAACGCGUAAAUAACUUGCCUUGGAGAUUGGGACAACAUUGGGAAACCAGUGCUAAUACCAAAUAAUGCAGCGGGCCCUUCGGGGCAUAGUUGUUAAAGUAGGCUUCGGCUUACACUUCAAGAUAGAUUUGCGUCCGAUUAGUUAGUUGGUAGGGUAAUAGCCUACCAAGACCGAGAUCGGUAGCUGGUCUGAGAGGAUGAUCAGCCACACUGGAAUUGAGAUACGGUCCAGACUCCUACGGGAGGCAGCAGUGAGGAAUUUUGCACAAUGGGCGAAAGCCUGAUGCAGCAACACCGCGUGAUUGAUGAAGUUUUUAGGAAUGUAAAAAUCUGUCGUAAGGGAAGAAAUGUUUCGGAUGUUAAUACCAUCUGUCAUUGACGGUACCUUACAAGAAAGGACCGGCUAACUUCGUG